rnacentral:tRNA from 1 species
UGGAAAGUAAGCUAAAAAAGCUGUUGGGUUCAUACCUCAAAAAUACUAAGGUCUUUCUGU